rnacentral:rRNA from 1 species
AGAUUGAACGCUAGCGGGAUGCUUUACACAUGCAAGUCGAACGGCAGCGCGGACUUCGGUCUGGCGGCGAGUGGCGAACGGGUGAGUAAUAUAUCGGAACGUGCCCAGUAGCGGGGGAUAACUACGCGAAAGCGUGGCUAAUACCGCAUACGCCCUACGGGGGAAAGGGGGGGAUUCUUCGGAACCUCUCACUAUUGGAGCGGCCGAUAUCAGAUUAGCUUGUUGGUGAGGUAAAGGCUCACCAAGGCCGCGAUCUGUAGCUGGUUUGAGAGGACGACCAGCCACACUGGGACUGAGACACGGCCCAGACUCCGUACGGGAGCGAGCUAGGUGGGGUAAUUUUGGACUAAGUACGGGGGAAACCCUGAAGUCCACGGCCACGUCCCGACGUGCGCGAUGGAACGGUCCUUCGGGUUAGUAA